AUUGAACGCUGGCGGCAGGCCUAACACAUGCAAGUCGAGCGGAUGAAGGGAGCUUGCUCCUGGCUUCAGCGGCGGACGGGUGAGUAAUGCCUAGGAAUCUGCCUGGUAGUGGGGGAUAACGUCCGGAAACGGGCGCUAAUCCCGCAUACGUCCUUAUGGAGAACGGCGGGGAUCUUCGGACCUCGCGCUAUCAGAUGAGCCUAGGUCGGAUUAGCUAGUUGGUGUGGUAAAGGCCUACCAAGGCGACGAUCCGUAACUGGUCUGAGAGGCUGAUCAGUCACACUGGAACUGAGACACGGUCCAGACUCCUACGGGAGGCAGCAGUGGGGAAUAUUGGACAAUGGGCGAAAGCCUGAUGCAGCAAUGCCGCGUGUGUGAAGAAGGUCUUCGGAUUGUAAAGCACUUUAAGUUGGGAGGAAGGGAAGUAAGUUAAAAUAUUGCUGUUUUGACGUUACCAACAGAAAAAGCACCGGCUAACUUCGUG
rnacentral:rRNA from 1 species